ensembl:miRNA MIR4693 microRNA 4693
GUUUAAAGAAUACUGUGAAUUUCACUGUCACAAAUUCAAAUAAAGUGAGAGUGGAAUUCACAGUAUUUAAGGAAU